GGGCAAUUACCCAAGUUGGCUGAAGGGGACAGUCUCGAAAAUUGUUAGGAGUUUAAAAGCUCGCAAGGGUUCGAAUCCCUUAUUGCCCG
rnacentral:tRNA from 1 species